rnacentral:rRNA from 1 species
GACGAACGCUGGCGGCGUGCUUAACACAUGCAAGUCGAACGGAAAGGCCCUGCUUUUGUGGGGUGCUCGAGUGGCGAACGGGUGGGUAACACGUGAGUAACCUGCCCUUGACUUUGGGAUAACUUCAGGAAACUGGGGCUAAUACCGGAUAGGAGCUCCUGCUGCAUGGUGGGGGUUGGAAAGUUUCGGCGGUUGGGGAUGGACUCGCGGCUUAUCAGCUUGUUGGUGGGGUAGUGGCUUACCAAGGCUUUGACGGGUAGCCGGCCUGAGAGGGUGACCGGCCACAUUGGGACUGAGAUACGGCCCAGACUCCUACGGGAGGCAGCAGUGGGGAAUAUUGCACAAUGGGCGGAAGCCUGAUGCAGCAACGCCGCGUGCGGGAUGACGGCCUUCGGGUUGUAAACCGCUUUCGCCUGUGACGAAGCGUGAGUGACGGUAAUGGGUAAAGAAGCACCGGCUAACUACGUGCCAGCAGCCGCGGUGAUACGUAGGGUGCGAGCGUUGUCCGGAUUUAUUGGGCGUAAAGGGCUCGUAGGUGGUUGAUCGCGUCGGAAGUGUAAUCUUGGGGCUUAACCCUGAGCGUGCUUUCGAUACGGGUUGACUUGAGGAAGGUAGGGGAGAAUGGAAUUCCUGGUGGAGCGGUGGAAUGCGCAGAUAUCAGGAGGAACACCAGUGGCGAAGGCGGUUCUCUGGGCCUUUCCUGACGCUGAGGAGCGAAAGCGUGGGGAGCGAACAGGCUUAGAUACCCUGGUAGUCCACGCUGUAAACGGUGGGUACUAGGUGUGGGGUCCAUUCCACGGGUUCCGUGCCGUAGCUAACGCUUUAAGUACCCCGCCUGGGGAGUACGGCCGCAAGGCUAAAACUCAAAGGAAUUGACGGGGCCCCGCACAAGCGGCGGAGCAUGCGGAUUAAUUCGAUGCAACGCGUAGAACCUUACCUGGGUUUGACAUGGAUCGGGAGUGCUCAGAGAUGGGUGUGCCUCUUUUGGGGUCGGUUCACAGGUGGUGCAUGGCUGUCGUCAGCUCGUGUCGUGAGAUGUUGGGUUAAGUCCCGCAACGAGCGCAACCCUUGUUCACUGUUGCCAGCACGUUAUGGUGGGGACUCAGUGGAGACCGCCGGGGUCAACUCGGAGGAAGGUGGGGAUGACGUCAAGUCAUCAUGCCCCUUAUGUCCAGGGCUUCACGCAUGCUACAAUGGCUGGUACAGAGAGUGGCGAGCCUGUGAGGAUGAGCGAAUCUCGGAAAGCCGGUCUCAGUUCGGAUUGGGGUCUGCAACUCGACCUCAUGAAGUCGGAGUCGCUAGUAAUCGCAGAUCAGCAACGCUGCGGUGAAUACGUUCCCGGG